GACGAACGCUGGCGGCGUGCUUAACACAUGCAAGUCGAACGGUAAGGCCCUUCGGGGUACACGAGUGGCGAACGGGUGAGUAACACGUGGGUGAUCUGCCCUGCACUUCGGGAUGAGCCUGGGAAACUGGGUCUAAUACCGGAUAGGACUCCUGGCUUCAUGGUUGGGGGAGGAAAGCUUUUGCGGUGUGGGAUGGGCCCGCGGCCUAUCAGCCUGUUGGUGGGGUAAUGGCCUACCAAGGCGACGACGGGUAGCCGGCCUGAGAGGGUGACCGGUCACACUGGGACUGAGAUACGGCCCAGACUCCUACGGGAGGCAGCAGUGGGGAAUAUUGCACAAUGGGCGCAAGCCUGAUGCAGCGACGCCGCGUGAGGGAUGACGGCCUUCGGGUUGUAAACCUCUUUCAGCUAUGACGAAGCGCAAGUGACGGUAGUAGCAGAAGAAGGACCGGCCAACUACGUGCCAGCCGCCGCCGUAA
rnacentral:rRNA from 1 species